AUCGAUUGGUCGCCAGUCGAAAAGUGCGCUGAGUUUGAUUCUCGUUCGAAUGCGAUCGUACGCCAUGUUUGAAAGGGACGAAAAGGAGGUGGUGGCUGUCCCUCCGAACCGGUCCACUGUACAGACGACAAUCUUUCGACGUGAUCGGAGUCCAAAACGCAUAACGAAGAAAGAGCUAACCAGAAGGUUGGAGUUUUGAGGCAUUCGGAUGGAUCACGAUUCUUCUCAUCUAAUCUGUUCGCCUCGGCAAUGUCAGGUGACACAAUCGGUGACAGGGAGGCAGCAAACCACCACAGCAAAUCAUGAAGACAGAUUGGUUGAGUG